AGCAGCAUGGCGCAGUGGUAGCGCGCGGGGCCCAUAUAGAAUAGUAAAUAAGGAAAUAUUCACCCCGAGGUCACUUGAUCGAAACAAGUUGCUGCUA